rnacentral:lncRNA from 1 species
UCCGAUCUGUAACCCACUAGAACUGCUUAUAAGGACACGUACACCCUCCUGGUCUAGCAUACUACACCACAUUGUUCCACCAAUGGCAGCUCAGACCGGAGCAGCGCUCCUCCUCGCCGGCCUCCUCGCUCUUGCAACCAUUGUCAGCAGCAACACUGAAGGUACAUACAUACCCCUACAUGCCGAUUUGUUGCUUAAAGAUUUGGUGCUGAAUCACGUCCAAUGUGUUGCUACUCGAAGGCGACAUCCUUUACUCGCAAAGGCAGGUGUGGAAGGACCCCAACAACGUGCUGACGAGCUGGGAUCCGACGCUUGUCAACCCUUGCACUUGGUUCCAUGUCACCUGCAACCUCGACAACUCCGUCAUCCGAGUGUAUGCGACACCACUUUUCUCCUUCCUCCUCUGAAGGUCCAAAUUAGUUCCAUGAUAGGAAGCUACCAAUCUGCUUGUCUGCAUGCUGUUUGCAUAGUUAUUUCCAACAUUCAGGAACUUCUAAUUUGGACAAAAACCGCAUGAUUGUUGUUGAAUCUCUACAGAUUAACUGAAUCAUACUUGUGUUCCUCCUCACUGUUCAGGGAUUUGGGGAACGCGGGCAUCUCAGGCACCCUGAUUCCUCAACUGGGACAACUGAAGAACCUGCAGUACCUGUAAUUUCUGCAACUUACUGCAAAGUGCACACUUGUCAAAUUACACUCAAUAUUUUCCACAGAAUGAUCUUCUUAUGUUCAUAGGGAGCUGUACGCGAACAAUAUGAGUGGACCAAUACCAACAACCCUGGGCAACCUGACACGCCUGGUCACCCUCGAUCUCUACGACAACCAUUUCACCGGCGCGAUACCUUCCUCGCUUGGGGCAGUGGGGACGCUUCGUUUUCUGUAUGAGUCUCACUGCUACAAUUUUCAGACAACGAAAUAUUGAAAUGAUUACUAAUUGUCUCCAACUGCUGAAAACAAUCUGUUGGUGCCUAUCUUCAGGAGGCUACAUGGGAACAAACUGGCGGGAGAUAUACCGACGUCGUUGGGCCGUCUGACGAAGCUUGUCGAGCUGGAGCUUCAGGAGAACAUGCUUACUGGCGUGGUGCCGCUGGAGGUUCUCUCUCUUGUUCUUGUCGGGGACUUGACUGAACUGUGAGUAGUGC